CCACGGUUCUGUGGAAUGGCAGCACCUGGCUCCUGCUCACCCUCAGGUGAACACCAGGUGUGUGAUGAACAGAGUGAGGAAAACCAGGCAGAUCCUCCUGGGAAUCCAGGCACUUCCCUGGCUGCAGCUUCAGUUCUGGUUAUGCAACACUCCCAGGCUGUCACCCACAGCUCUGCUCUCCUGAGCUGCGCUUUGGCUUCUCAGGCUUAAUUUUGCUGCAGCUCGGGGUAAACAAUCCAUGAAAAUGUUAUUCCAUUGUCGUGGAAGGAAUUGCGCCAAGGUGACAGAUGGACUUACAAAUGUGCAACUCGUCACCGGGCCCAGAGUGACCCUGGCCAUUAGCAGUGCUGUGUGCAAGAAGGGAUCAAACCCCAGCGAGCAUCUGCUGAGCCUUGGCUGUCACUUAGCGAUAGAGGACACACAAUUCCUGCUGCAGCCAGGGUUUGAAUAAUCCCAGUGAUUUUUGGAGAAAGCUGUUGCUGUUACAUGUAAUAAUCUAUUUAGAUAUUCACUCACAUUACAAACAGGCAUUCAGGUUAGAUUAGGAGAAAUAAAUCCCCAAUCCUGAGUUCCAGGGAAAUGCUGGAGCUGCCAGGCUGCCCGUUCCCAGGGAGGCGUUUUGCUGGAUCACAUCAGCUGAAGGUUGUGUCCCAAGUGUUCCUUUUCUCAGCCUUGGAAAAGAGACUUUCAGAAAUGAGGAGGUUAGGGCUGGAGAGCAGGAGGGAAUGUCUGGGGGCAGUCAUGGAAGUGGGUCCUGCACCCUCUGAGGAACGUGGAGCAGGAUGAGGAGCCAUGCACUCUCCAGGGAUUCUUCUAAGACAUCGCUCUUACCAGCAGACACUAAAACCAGAGAGUUUUACACCAUUUCUCCUUCAUGCAGUGAAAAUUCAAAAGGGAGAUUUGGGCCAUGUGGCACCCAUAAAAUGAAGGCAAAACCUUUCAAAAGUAUCGAGAUCUGCAGAUAGGGUCAGUUUUUUCUUAAUGUUUCAAAAGUGUUGAAUAUUUUAAAAAAAACCCUCAACAGGAGUUUAAAUAAACACAGGCAAGUGAGUCAGUAAGAAGAUAUAAAAUCAUCAGGAAAGGCUGAGUUUGUUUUAAUACAGGGAUUACUGUAAACACUCACAGUGCAUGGUAACAAUUUGUAGCCCAUGUGUUUUGAAAUAUCAUAACUGGUGUCAAUAAACACAUUAAAAUUCGA